GCUGGUUUACGGGGGGCAAUUAUAGAGCGGGAAGAGUUCUUUUGGCUGAUGAGGCUUUCCUGUCCGUCCGUAUUAGGGUCCGUUCGGGUAAACCAGGGUUUUUGUUAUAAAUAUAUAUGGCUAAGACCACCUGAGAUCUCAAAAUCACGCGUUACUUUGUAAAAGGCCUGAGCUCAACCCUGUUCGCGCACGUUUGAAAAAAAGCAAACGGAAUGGAUUCGAUACGAUGAAUGAUAGAAAUUAUUUAAAAAGGACACUCGUCCGGUCCGUCUUGUCGUCCGGGUGCAAACUCACAGAAGGUCGGAAAACCAAAAAUUAUACCAAAGCACCCCAG